rnacentral:rRNA from 1 species
UGUGUUCAGUACGUCGUGAGACAGUUCGGUCCCUAUCCGUCGUGUGCGUAGGAAAUUUGAGAGGAGCUGUCAUUAGUACGAGAGGACCGGGAUGGACAUACCUCUGGUGUACCAGUUGUCGUGCCAAAGGCAUAGCUGGGUAGCUAUGUGUGGACGGGAUAAGUGCUGAAAGCAUCUAAGCUUGAAGCCCCCCUCAAGAUGAGAUUUCCCAACUUCGGUUAUAAGAUCCCUCAAAGAUGAUGAGGU